rnacentral:rRNA from 1 species
CAGUCGCCGCGGGAAUACGGAAGGUCCAGGCGUUAUCCGGACUUAUUGGGUUUAAAGGGAGUGUAGGCGGUCUGUUAAGCGUGUUGUGAAAUUUAGGUGCCCAACAUCUAACUUGCAGCGCGAACUGGCGGACUUGAGUGCACGCAACGUAUGCGGAAUUCAUGGUGUAGCGGUGAAAUGCUUAGAUAUCAUGACGAACUCCGAUUGCGAAGGCAGCGUACGGGAGUGUUACUGACGCUUAAGCUCGAAGGUGCGGGUAUCGAACAGGAUUAGAUACCCCCGUAGUCCCUGUCUCUUAUAC